CGUAGGGAGCAAGCGUUGUCCGGAUUCACUGGGUGUAAGGGUGCGCAGGCGGAUUUGUUAGUCAGAGGUGAAAUCUCACGGCUUAACCGUGAAACUGCCUUUGAUACUGCAGAUCUUGAGUUUGGGAGAGGUUGAUGGAAUUCCAGGUGUAGCGGUGAAAUGCGUAGAUAUCUGGAAGAACACCAGUGGCGAAGGCGGUCAACUGGCCCAUAACUGACGCUCAGGCACGAAAGCGUGGGUAGCAAACAGGAUUAGAUACCCUGGUAGUCCACGCCUUAAACGAUGAAUACUUGGUGUUGGUUCUUAAUGAAUCAGUGCCGGAGGUAACCUGGUAAGUAUUCCACCUGGGGAGUACGCUCGCAAGGGUG
rnacentral:rRNA from 1 species